CCGUAGGUGAACCUGCGGAAGGAUCAUAGUUGUGGAUGAGGGAGCGCAGGUCGCUCCCGUUCAACCCAAUCUUCUUUGGACCGGCGUGGUUUGGAGCCUUGUGCACCCCCGUCGAUCAGCCAUACGUACUCUUGGUCAUCUGAACUUCAGUUGAUAUUUCAUAAAUACACAACUGGUAGCAUUGGAUCCCUUGGCACGCCAUUCGAUGAAGACCGUAGCAAAUUGCGAUAAGUGGUGUGAUAUGCGAGUCCAAAACUUAUACGUGAACCAUCGAAUUGUUGAACGCAUUGCAUCGAGCUUUGCCCAAGCACGAUACGCGUUGAUCACCGCGGUUAUGUCUUCAGAAUUUGACCAUUCUGAGCUCGGGACUCAUGGCCCUCUCGGGUCACGCCUCCUAAGAUGAAUUCGCUUCGUUCCAACGUCGCGCUCCUUGUUGUGAACUUCAAGGCGUGAUGGUCGGAAUCGGCGAGCGGUCAGGCUGGAAACGCCUAGACCAAACAUGCAUCCCUUCGGGGCUCGCGACACCAAACCACUGCGUGAUCGACGUGGGACGACGGGCUAAACUUAAGCAUAUUAAUCAGCCCAGGAAAAGAAACUAACAAGGAUUCCCCUAGUAACUGCGAGUGAAGAGGGAAGAGCUCAAUGUGUGAAUCUGACCGGGUCUAAAACCUGGUUCGAAUUGUGCACUAUUGACGCUGGAUCAGCUCAUGAAAGCUUGUGGCGGAUGUCCGAUGAAACACGGCACCAUAGCGGGUCACAGUCCUGUACAC
rnacentral:rRNA from 1 species